AGAGUUUGAUCCUGGCUCAGAAUGAACGCUGGCGGCGUGCUUAACACAUGCAAGUCGAACGAGAAAGCCGAAAGCUUGCUUUUGGCGAGUAAAGUGGCGCACGGGUGAGUAACGCGUGGAUAAUCUGCCUUUGAGUCUGGGAUAACACCUCGAAAGGGGUGCUAAUACCGGAUGACAUCGCAAGGAUUUCGAUCCUUGCGAUCAAAGAUGGCCUCUGCUUGCAAGCUAUUGCUUGAAGAUGAGUCCGCGUGCCAUUAGCUUGUUGGUGGGGUAAUGGCCCACCAAGGCUACGAUGGUUAGCUGGUCUGAGAGGAUGAUCAGCCACACUGGCACUGACACACGGGCCAGACUCCUACGGGAGGCAGCAGUGAGGAAUUUUGCGCAAUGGGGGAAACCCUGACGCAGCAACGCCGCGUGAGUGAAGAAGGCUUUCGGGUCGCAAGGCUCUGUCAAGUGGGAAGAACCCACGGAGUACCAAUAAGACUUCGUGCUGACGGUACCACUGAAGGAAGCACCGGCUAACUCCGUGCCAGCGGCCGCGGUAAUACGGAGGGUGCAAGCGUUAUUCGGAAUUACUGGGCGUAAAGGGCGCGCAGGCGGCCUGUUAAGUCAGUUGUGAAAGCCCGGGGCUCAACCCCGGAAGUGCGACUGAAACUGGCAGGCUUGAGUAUGGGAGAGGGAAGUG
rnacentral:rRNA from 1 species